rnacentral:rRNA from 1 species
GAUGAACGCUGGCGGCGUGCCUAAUACAUGCAAGUCGAGCGAACAGACGAGGAGCUUGCUCCUCUGACGUUAGCGGCGGACGGGUGAGUCACACGUGUAUACCCUACCUAUCAGACUGGGAUAACUUCGGGAAACCGGAGCUAAUCCCGGAUAAUAUCUUGAACCGCAUGGUUCAAUAGUAAAAGACGGUUUUUGUGUCGCUUGUCGAUGGAUCCGCGCCUCAUUAGCUGGUUGGUAGGGUAGGGGCUUACCAAGGCUAGGACGCGUAGCCGGCCUGAGAGGGUGACCGGCCUCAUGGGGAAUGAGAUACGGUGCAGACUCCUACGGGAGGCAGAAGUGGGGAAUAUUGCACAAUGGGCGGAAGUCUGAUGCAGCAACGCCGCGUGCGGGAUGACGGCCUUCGGGGUGUAAACCGCUUUCGCAUGUGACGAAGCGUGAGUGACGGUAAUGGGUAAAGAAGCACCGGCUAACUACGUG